rnacentral:rRNA from 1 species
UUAAGUGAAUAAGGGCGCACGGUGGAUGCCUUGGCACUAGGAGCCGAUGAAGGACGGGACUAACACCGAUAUGCUUUGGGGAGCUGUACGUAAGCUAUGAUCCAGAGAUUUCCGAAUGGGGAAACCCAACAUCUUUUAUAGGAUGUUACGUUUGCGUGAAUACAUAGCGCAUUCGAGGUAGACGCAGAGAACUGAAACAUCUAAGUACCUGCAGGAAGAGAAAGAAAAUUCGAUUCCCUGAGUAGCGGCGAGCGAAACGGGAAAAGCCCAAACCAAUGAGCUUGCUCAUUGGGGUUGUAGGACUCCAAUAUGGUAGUUCUUUCAGAUAAUCGAAUGACUUGGAAAAGUCAGUCAAAGAGGGUAAAAACCCCGUAGAUGAAAUUUGGAAGGCACCUAGGAGGAUCCUGAGUACGGCGGAACACGAGGAAUUCCGUCGGAAUCCGGGAGGACCAUCUCCCAAGGCUAAAUACUCCCUAGUGACCGAUAGUGAACCAGUACCGUGAGGGAAAGGUGAAAAGCACCCCGGAAGGGGAGUGAAAUAGAACCUGAAACCGUGUGCCUACAACAAGUCAAAGCCCGUUAAUGGGUGAUGGCGUGCCUUUUGUAGAAUGAACCGGCGAGUUACGAUUGCAUGCGAGGUUAAGUCGAAGAGACGGAGCCGUAGCGAAAGCGAGUCUGAAUAGGGCGUUUGAGUAUGUAGUCGUAGACCCGAAACCAUGUGAUCUACCCAUGUCCAGGUUGAAGGUGCGGUAAAACGCACUGGAGGACCGAACCCACGUACGUUGAAAAGUGCGGGGAUGAGGUGUGGGUAGCGGAGAAAUUCCAAACGAACUUGGAGAUAGCUGGUUCUCUCCGAAAUAGCUUUAGGGCUAGCCUCGGAUUUGAGAAUGAUGGAGGUAGAGCACUGUUUGGACUAGGGGCCCAUCUCGGGUUACCGAAUUCAGAUAAACUCCGAAUGCCAUUCAUUCAUAUCCGGGAGUCAGACUGUGAGUGAUAAGAUCCAUAGUCGAAAGGGAAACAGCCCAGACCACCAGCUAAGGUCCCAAAAUAUAUGUUAAGUGGAAAAGGAUGUGGGGUUGCACAGACAACUAGGAUGUUGGCUCAGAAGCAGCCACCAUUUAAAGAGUGCGUAAUAGCUCACUAGUCGAGUGACCCUGCGCCGAAAAUGUACCGGGGCUAAACAUAUUACCGAAGCUGUGGAGUACACCAUUAGGUGUAUUGGUAGGAGAGCGUUCUAAGGGCGUUGAAGGCAGAUCGUGAGGACUGCUGGAGCGCUUAGAAGUGAGAAUGCCGGUAUGAGUAGCGAAAGACAGGUGAGAAUCCUGUCCACCGAAUGACUAAGGUUUCCUGGGGAAGGCUCGUCCGCCCAGGGUUAGUCGGGACCUAAGCCGAGGCCGACAGGCGUAGGCGAUGGACAACAGGUUGAUAUUCCUGUACUCGUUGUUUUUGUUUGAGCAAUGGAGGGACGCAGGAGGCUAAGGAAUGCAGACGAUUGGAAAUGUCUGUCCAAGCAGUAAGUCUUGAUAGGAGUCAAAUGCUUCUGUCUACACGGAUAAGCUGUGAUGGGGAGGGAAAUAAUAGUACCGAAGUUCCUGAUGUCACACUGCCAAGAAAAGCUUCUAGUGAGAAAACAAUGACCCGUACCGCAAACCGACACAGGUAGUCGAGGAGAGAAUCCUAAGGUGAGCGAGAGAACUCUCGUUAAGGAACUCGGCAAAAUGACCCCGUAACUUCGGGAGAAGGGGUGCUGAUCUUUGAUCAGCCGCAGUGAAUAGGCCCAAGCGACUGUUUAUCAAAAACACAGGUCUCUGCAAAAUCGUAAGAUGAAGUAUAGGGGCUGACGCCUGCCCGGUGCUGGAAGGUUAAGAGGAGUGCUUAGCGUAAGCGAAGGUACGAAUUGAAGCCCCAGUAAACGGCGGCCGUAACUAUAACGGUCCUAAGGUAGCGAAAUUCCUUGUCGGGUAAGUUCCGACCCGCACGAAAGGCGUAACGAUUUGGGCACUGUCUCAACGAGAGACUCGGUGAAAUUUUAGUACCUGUGAAGAUGCAGGUUACCCGCGACAGGACGGAAAGACCCCAUGGAGCUUUACUGUAGUUUGAUAUUGAGUGUCUGUACCGCAUGUACAGGAUAGGUAGGAGCCGUAGAAAUCGGAACGCUAGUUUCGAUGGAGGCGCUGGUGGGAUACUACCCCUGCGUUAUGGCCACUCUAACCCGCACCACUGAUCGUGGUGGGAGACAGUGUCAGAUGGGCAGUUUGACUGGGGCGGUCGCCUCCUAAAAGGUAACGGAGGCGCCCAAAGGUUCCCUCAGAAUGGUUGGAAAUCAUUCGAAGAGUGUAAAGGCAGAAGGGAGCUUGACUGCGAGACCAACAAGUCGAGCAGGGACGAAAGUCGGGCUUAGUGAUCCGGUGGUUCCGCAUGGAAGGGCCAUCGCUCAACGGAUAAAAGCUACCCUGGGGAUAACAGGCUUAUCUCCCCCAAGAGUCCACAUCGACGGGGAGGUUUGGCACCUCGAUGUCGGCUCGUCGCAUCCUGGGGCUGUAGUCGGUCCCAAGGGUUGGGCUGUUCGCCCAUUAAAGCGGCACGCGAGCUGGGUUCAGAACGUCGUGAGACAGUUCGGUCCCUAUCCGUCGCGGGCGUUGGAAAUUUGAGAGGAGCUGUCCUUAGUACGAGAGGACCGGGAUGGACUUACCGCUGGUGUACCAGUUGUUCUGCCAAGGGCAUUGCUGGGUAGCUAUGUAGGGAAGGGAUAAACGCUGAAAGCAUCUAAGUGUGAAGCCCACCUCAAGAUGAGAUUUCCCAUUUCUUUAAGAAAGUAAGAUCCCUGAGAGAUGAUCAGGUAGAUAGGUCAGGAGUGGAAGGCCAGUGAUGGUUGGAGCGGACUGAUACUAAUCGAUCGAGGACUUAACCAA